GAACUGGAGAGUUUGAUCCUGGCUCAGAACGAACGCUGGCGGCGUGCUUAAGACAUGCAAGUCGUGCGAGAAAGUCGCCUUCGGGUGGCGAGUAAAGCGGCGCACGGGUGAGUAACGCGUGGGUAAUCUACCUACGGGUCUGGGAUAACUCCGGGAAACUGGAGCUAAUACCGGAUAAGCCCACGAUGUCCUCGGACAUUGAGGGAAAAGGUGGCCUCGUCUUGAAAGCUAUCGCCCGAUGAUGAGCCCGCGUCCCAUUAGCUUGUUGGUGAGGUAAAGGCUCACCAAGGCUCCGAUGGGUAGCUGGUCUGAGAGGAUGAUCAGCCACACUGGAACUGAGACACGGUCCAGACUCCUACGGGAGGCAGCAGUCGGGAAUUUUGGGCAAUGGGCGAAAGCCUGACCCAGCAACGCCGCGUGGAGGAAGAAGGCCUUCGGGUCGUAAACUCCUGUCCUAGGGGAAGAAGAAAGUGACGGUACCCUUGAAGGAAGCCCCGGCUAACUCCGUGCCA
rnacentral:rRNA from 1 species